UAUUUUCCUUAAGGGGAGUAGCUUUUACAAUGAAGUCGUCAUUACAGAAUGAGAUGAUAAUCGUUCUCGGCUUUAUUGGCAACGAAUGUUGUUAGCAAGACCUUACCAGUGUGU
rnacentral:misc_RNA from 1 species